GACUACAAGGGACCAACGUAACUAUCACCUACGCGGCCUACCACACGAUCUGGCUAGACAGGGGAUAUCCACAAGUAAUCUAGGUCUAAGCACCACGCUUACACCUAUACUACAACUCUCACCUAGAGCGUCCUAUAGAUUAAAGUACUCAAAGUGUUGUGAACCAGAAUAUAUAUGGAUAGUAAUUGCAUAAUGAAAUAAGAAGUAGAUUACUAGAGUCAUCCCAUGAGCAAGCUUGAUUACAGCUUGAUCAUGGCGAAGUACAACCGGAGGAAGAACCGACAGGCCGGCCUCUCCUCCAAUCCUCCCUCGCUCUCCAUCUCGCUACUAUCUAGAUCUACUCUAGUUUAGAGAUGAGAGGAAAGCUCUCGUCUCCAAACCCUAGCUUUUGCUCUGUAUAUGAAUAAUGAAUAGGGAUCAAGGGGGUGCCUCCUCCAGGGGCCAGGGGGUCUGCUUAUAUAGUCCUUCCAAAUGAAUGUGGGCCGUCGGAUCAAACCGACAUUAUUCGCACAGUUUUACUUAAUCCUUUAGGUCGGUGGAGCAUGAUCCGUGAAGCUACAACGGUAUCCGUGCACUUGCGGAUUUAUCUGUGUGCGUAUAAAAACCAUAGUACACUCUAGUGCCAUGCUGG
rnacentral:lncRNA from 1 species